AGAGUUUGAUCAUGGCUCAGAACGAACGCUGGCGGCAGGCCUAACACAUGCAAGUCGAGCGCCCGCAAGGGAGCGGCAGACGGGUGAGUAACGCGUGGGAACGUGCCCUUUGGUUCGGAAUAUUCCCGGGAAACUGGGAGCAAAACCGGAUAAGCCCUUCGGGGGAAAGUUUACGCCAAAGGAUCGGCCCGCGUUAGAUUAGGUAGUUGGUGGGGUAACGGCCUACCAAGCCUACGAUCUAUAGCUGAUCUGAGAGGAUGAUCAGCCACACUGGGACUGAGACACGGCCCAGACUCCUACGGGAGGCAGCAGUGGGGAAUCUUGGACAAUGGGCGCAAGCCUGAUCCAGCCAUGCCGCGUGGAUGACUGAAGGCCCUAGGGUUGUAAAGUCCUUUCGACGGGGACGAUAAUGACGGUACCCGUAGAAGAAGCCCCGGCUAACUUCAUGCCAGCAGCCGCGGUAAUACGAAGGGGGCUAGCGUUGUUCGGAUUUACUGGGCGUAAAGGGCGCGUAGGCGGAUUUUUAAGUCGGGGGUGAAAUCCCGGAGCUCAACUCCGGAACUGCCUUCGAUACUGAAAGUCUGGAGCACGGUAGAGGUGAGUGGAAUUCCGAGUGUAGAGGUGAAAUUCGUAGAUAUUCGGAGGAACACCAGUGGCGAAGGCGGCUCACUGGACCGUUGCUGACGCUGAGGCGCGAAAGCGUGGGGAGCAAACAGGAUUAGAUACCCCGGUAGUCC
rnacentral:rRNA from 1 species